AAGACCCAUUUUCCACAUCCAGUAACCAAUGACAAUGUUUUUGUUAUGAUGGACGCUUGCCACAUGCUGAAGCUGACACGCAAUAUGUUGCAGGCAUACAGCCCCAUUGGAAGCAUAAAUGGCAGUAUCAAUUGGAAGUACAUAGUCCAUCUGAACAAUGUCCAAAAGAAAAGUGGACUACAUGCUGCCAAUAGAGUCACAGAUAAGCAUGUGAACUUUUCUAAUCAGAAGAUGAAGGUCUCCCUGGCUGCUCAGACUUUGAGUAGCUGUGUGGCAGUGGCGCUCUGCACGUUGCAGGAGGUGGGCUAUGCAAAGUUCAAAGAUUGUGAGGCUACUGCAGAAUUCAUAAAGAUGCUCUGUCCUCUUGUUUGCAUCGUGUUCAUGAGAUGCUCUUUUCGGUCUGCGUCAAGUUCAUAAAGCGGUACGUAUUAUUAAUAUAAUACUAUCUUGCUCCAACGUGUUUGCAGUUUGCAAAUUUGUUUCAGUUCGAAUUCUCUUGUAUUCAGUUUUUUCCUCCCCAGAUGCCGGUGUCAAAGAGGUAUGUAUUGGAUGGUCUGCAUGUUAUGCUGUGAAUUGAUUCAAGAAGGUUUUGUGUCCCUAAAAUAAAUUUUAAGCAUCCUAAACCUCACAUUGAUUAUACUUUUAAGGUCAGGGAUUCAAACUAGUCAGCUUUAUUCCCUUGCCGCCCCCCAAAUGUGGCAAUGAAGUGAAUUGUGUGAAAUGUGGAUUUGUGUCUGCCCUGAGAAGUGCUUCUCUUGGAGCAUUCACUAUUUUCACCUUAUACUGUUAGUUUGCAUUCUUGUGUCCUGUUUUGGCAGGAUCAUCAUAGUAAAACAGUAUUUGCUUUUGAAGGUUCCUCUCUGUCCUUGGCUUCAUCAUAAACAUUGACACAUUGAUGUUGAUGGUUCCUGUGCUGCUUGAAGGACAGCGAUAUGUCCUGACUUAUAGGUUCAGCCAGGACCACUUGGAGCUUCUCUUCAACUCCAUCAGAGCAUCGGGGGGCUGGAAUAACAAUCCUAAUGCCAGCCAGUUCAAGUACAUUUUCAGGAAGCUGAUGGCCCGGUGAGGGGUUGUAAAAUCAUGCAGAGGCAAUGUGACUGCACAGGAUGACACAGAGUCCCUACCAGCUGUCAUUGACACCUCUACUAGCCUGUCAGCUGUAGAUAUGUCCUCUGCAGCAGGAGAAGAAGAUCUUCCAUCCCCGUUUUCUGACAUUCCUGCGCUAGUACAUGACCACAGCUACCUUCCUGUCCGCUUUGAUGGUCUUGUGGACAACGCUCUCGUGUACAUUUCAGGAUUUGUUGUGCGACGGGCUCUGAAAAAGCUGUCCUGUGAUAUCUGCCGUGCCAGCUUGGUAAUAGAUGCUGCAUCUGCCAUCAAGGACCAGAGCUACCACCUGCUGAAGUUAAAAAACAACGAAGGUCUGGUGAUUCCAUCAGAAGGCACAGUGAUGGUAGUCAGGGCAGCAGAGUGGGUCAUUCAUCAGACCUCAUGUACCAGACGAUCACAGCCCAUCAAAGUGCUAGAGGUCGUGUACAUUGUACGGAAGAGGAUGGGGUCAGAGGAUGUGUUUGUGCUCAGAGAGCACAUCGGAGAAACACAGUAUGGCAUAGACAGCCAAAAAACAUAGCCAAGCUAUGUUUUUUGGGUCAUUUUUUAAAUCUCUGUCUUCCAUGUGUAUACCAUCACAGUAGUGAAGGUGGGGAUUUCAACUUGCUACAUCUAUUUAUACUUGUGAAGGGGACUAUUGUACCAUUUUUAAUAGCAAAUAAAUGUCACUUUUAUAAUGGUUUAAAAAUAGGAACUUUUGUGAAAUUACCCCUGAUAUAUAAUCCAAAUAGUCUACAUGAAACUUCAAAGUGUUACCUUUAAUUUGAAACCUGAAUUAUGCUUCUACACCAAGAGGUUGCCACACAAUAAGCCUUUUUUGUCAGUAUUUCAUAUUUUAUUAUAACAGUAAUAUUCAUAUUAAAUGUAUGUAAAUAUAAAUAAAUUAGGACUGUGAAAUAAUUAAUC